rnacentral:rRNA from 1 species
GUGGGGAAUCUUGCGCAAUGGGCGAAAGCCUGACGCAGCCAUGCCGCGUGAAUGAUGAAGGUCUUAGGAUUGUAAAAUUCUUUCACCGGGGACGAUAAUGACGGUACCCGGAGAAGAAGCCCCGGCUAACUUCGUGCCAGCAGCCGCGGUAAUACGAAGGGGGCUAGCGUUGCUCGGAAUUACUGGGCGUAAAGGGCGCGUAGGCGGACAGUUUAGUCAGAGGUGAAAGCCCAGGGCUCAACCUUGGAAUUGCCUUUGAUACUGGCUGUCUUGAGUACGAGAGAGGUGAGUGGAACUCCGAGUGUAGAGGUGAAAUUCGUAGAUAUUCGGAAGAACACCAGUGGCGAAGGCGACUCACUGGCCCGUUACUGACUCUGAGGCGCGAAAGCGUGGGGAGCAAACAGGAUUAGAUACCCGGGUAGUCC